ensembl:lncRNA
AAGCCUUUGUUAAAUAUAUUUUAAAAACAUAUAAAAGCUUUUUGAAAUUGAAUGUGCUGUUUUUGGUCACUCCAAACCAAUUGUCUUGGUUGUUACCUAGUUAACUUGCUAGAUUUAGAGCAAAACAAAUCCUUAAUGCUACUUUAAGGCAGAAACACUCAUCUGACAGGACAGCACAGCACACCAACCCUGCUCCCGGUCUCCCACUGCACAAGGCUUGUGUCACCAACACAACAUAUCAUUUGCCAUACGUAGCAGGACUUAAGAUACAGAUCCACAAUUUCUGCCAGAUGCGCUUUUUUCUAUUUAAUAUUUAUCUUCAGGAUUUUUUUAAUUCAUAUUUAUUGUGUUAACAUGGUGAUCACCCAACAAACCAACCAAAUGAAGAUGUGUGUAAAAUAGUCACACUGGACAAGGAGAAGGCAAAGAAAGAAAUGGAUGUGGAGAUGGCACAGAUAUCAGCCACUCUAAGCUCCUAGUGCAGCAGACACUGGUGGUGAUGCUCAUGAGUUUCCAACCGGGUGAACGGAUUGUGGCGCCCCCUGCAGGCAGCAGCCAUGUUCUCACGGUUUUCCUGUUAACUUCUCUACUUCUGCUCCUGGAGCUAAAGAUCAUCUUGAGAUAAAGGUCUCGGCGCUCCAGUGUCGCUCACCACACAUCAGUUUAGGUCUUAACGGCCCCUACACCUACUGUAUUCCUAUUGCAGAUAAAACAAUAUCAACCUGGAACCAGUCAAAAAAAAUCUAGGAAUUCCAUCAUUUAUUACUAAGUACUGGGUGUGUAGGCUAGCCAAUUACAAACUUCCAUGUGUGGGAAUGCCACGUAGCCUCUUCGACGCAGAUUCAUGCUAGUUCAGCUAAAUGGUAUGCCAUUUAUCCACCUUUAUAGGCUUUCAACUGGUGUUCUAGCGGCGUGGUCUCUGAUCAAUGACCUGCUCUUCUUACAGGCCCCCCCCCCAACGUCACUAGGGAGCACUGGCUGCUUAGGGCCUGGCUAAUAGAGCGGAGUGUUCACUUGUCCUUUCAAAAUAGAGUUCAUUUGUCAGGGUUGGCCCGAAAUUCUGCCCAGGAUCAAUGACUGAUAACGGACUAGGUGGUCAGCACAAUCGUGGUUGUACAGUAAAGACCCCUCUGGUAACUUUGAGCAGAACACAGCCAGGGCUCGGCCACUGAUGUACCUAGACGGUAGUGGCAAGACAAUUCCAAAAAUGGAUCUGAUUUAUACCUUGAGAAUGCAAAGUGUAACAUCAACAGAUCUGCCUUAAUGGCAAGCCCAGCCCACUUAAACUUAAGCCCAGUUUUUUUUUCCUACUUGCAACUUAUUUACAAGUUUUGAAUGCUCUAAAAACUGGAUCUGAUUGUUAUGACUAGUACAUUAUAUAGAACACAAUUUGGACUCACAUUGGUCUCUGAAUGAUUGCCCACCAUCUCACAGAGAUCAUCAAAACAAUCAAUACAACAGAAGAAGAUCAAGUUGAACAAUGUAUUGAUUCCUGAUUGGACAAGAGGCAUUCCAUAAGUGUGGAUAUCUUGGAACAACCCCAACGACUCUUCACCGCUAGUAACGCAUAGCACAUAGCUUUUAACGUUACAUUUCACUGUUCUUUUAACGUUAUCUUUGACUGUUCUUUCAACGUUACCUUUGACUGUUCUUUUAACGUUACAUUUAACUGUUCUUUUAACGAUACCUUUGACUGUUCUUUUAACGUUACCUUUGACUGUUCUUUUAACGUUACCUUUGACUGUUCUUUUAACGUUACAUUUGACUGUUCUUCUAACGUUACCUUUGACUGUUCUUUUAACGUUACCUUUGACUGUUCUUUUAACGUUACAUUUGACUGUUUUCGAGUGAGGAAAGGAAGCAAAUGAGUAGGCAUACAAGGCAUGUACAAAUUCCCAUGAAACGUAAAGACAUGUGAAUGUACUUUGAACAUGCAAAUUGCCUGAUUCAACUUGGCUGCAGAGUGACCCUUGGCAACGCUUACUGCUGAGAACUCUGCUUGGAAACUUUUGGUAGCAGAGCGAGCUGUGGCCAAACGGCCAAAUCACAGCCAUUGGGUCAUCCGUUACCAAACCCCCACUCUCUCUCUCGUGUCACACUGCUGAAACAACCACACAUGAAUGCGCUCAUGGAACAAUAGUUUGCUUCUGUGCAGCAAGGUUUAUCAGAGUCCAAACAGAGGUGAGAGACAGGCUCCUGUACACACACACACACUGGAGGCAGGUCACCGGCUGGCUGGAUGCCUCACACACACCCCCCCACUCCAGGAGCUGCUAUUAUGAGCUCUUGAUCUCACACACACUCCCUCACACACACACACACACACACACACACACACACACACACACACACACACACACACACACGGCCAUAUUAUCAGUCUCAACUUACAUAAGUCAAAUCUAUUUAAACAAAACCCACAGCAACAGUACUGAGAGCUACAAGCUAGACAGCCUAUCCGAACACACAGUCACACGUGAGGACGGGGGCCAUUUCCCAUACUGACCGCCCUGCCUGCAUUAAUGUGUCAGAGGCGUUCUCAGCCAUGUGGAUCACUGCCUCAGCACAGUCCAACCCCUCAACUGCUGACUCAUUUGACCAGGAUCUCUGCUGGCUUUAUUCACCCAAAAUAUGUGGGUGCACAGUCACUUCAUUUUUUUUUUUGAACCCGUUUACUGUCAGAGGCGCAUAUAUCGACCCAGAAUAUUCUAGAAUGCCAAGGGCGAGUAUGUGCGCCCCAAAGAGCAGAACCAUUGGAGCGCUAACAUUAAGCCAAUUAAAACAGCCAUACUGUGCUGUUACCAUGUCGACAUGAUAUUCUCAACAGAUCAUGAAUGGUUUAAAUUUACAAAUUAAGUCAUUCAACAGUUGAAUCAUUUAACAGUAUCAGAGCUAGCUAGCUAACAAACAGAGCAUUUGUGAACAUAUAGUCAUCACGGAGGAGAGCUUUACUUUCAACUGGAACAGUCAGAGUGAAUGAGUUUUUGGGGUUUGAAGAGGACUUGGAGGAGUUAGUGAGUGAGCUAGCGGAGAAGGGUGAAGCGGACUGCGACUGCUGUGGAGGUGUGGGAGACGCUCCGCGCGAGUGGAAGAGGGAUCCAUCUGAUGGGAGGGUCCCGUUUGACGAGACCAACCCACAGCCUGGUCCCCAGAGAGUUCUACAGCUUUUUUUAUGAGCCGAUAGCAUAGUGCAUAGCACUAGCAUAGUGCCAAGGCUAGUUACGUCUCCAUUGUCACUUCUGGGGCUUCAUCAUGUCUUCUCUGGGCUUACGGCCAGGGGCUUUUGGCCUGCCGUUUACCCUUGGGCCAAGCAGAACCAGGGGCUUUUGGCCUGCCGUUUACCCUUGGGCCAAGCAGAACCAGGGGCUUUUGGCCUGCCGUUUACUCUUGGGUCAAGCAGAACUAACCGGUGCCUGAGGCAGUGUCAAGGUAAAAAAAGGGGUUAGCAGAGUCUGGUAAGAGAAGUUCAGUGCAGAUAACCGUAACACAUAAUAAAGAAUUGAGAAUCGUUGGAGCUGGUGAAAUCAGGUAUCUGCUUAAUAUUUGGCCUAAUAAAAAUGUGCAAUGGUAGUUUGAUCAAGUACAACCAACUGAACAACCAAUGAGUAAUACUUUUGUUGGUGUUGUUAUGACUCGGUUGAUCGGCAUGACUAUCACUGGCCUUCCCCUGGCCGGGCUACAUGAUGCAGGCAGGCUACAGACAUUGUGCAUGCCAUGAUCAACAUCAAUGGUGGAUCGAAUCUCAAUAUAUUUAUACAAUGUAUACAAUACAAAACACUGCUCGCUCAACUAAACACAAUGUGCAUGGAUGCUUAAUUACCAUCAAAUUCAGAUUGGGUGAUCAUAAAUGCUAAUUUAUUGCAAGAAACGAUUAUAUGUUAGUCCAGGCAAUGCUGUUCCAGCCAUGUCAUGAAUAACCUCGUCUUAAAUGUUUUAAAUGUCUAUUUUCUCUUGAUCAGUGAGUUGUUGAUGACGUCGAACAUACAGUGGCAUAAAAGCGGUUCUACCAAUUACAACUUAUGCUUAGAAAUAAGCAAAAAAGUGAGCUUGUGGCAGUCCACAGGAAGCACUCGAGACACCGAGUGAACAGCCACAUGAAAGACAGAGGAUGUGUUUGACAGUAAGACAAAUGUUCAAAUGUUCCUGUGCCAAGUGUUCUGCAAGGAGUGAGUCAUCCCUAAUGCUGCUAGACAGAACCCUGCCAAGAGCGCUGAGCAGGAAACAGGCACACAUGUUAAUGUGCCCUGCAUUAGGAGAACCGGAUGUCACUAUACACAUGUGUACACACACACACACACACACACACACACACACACACUAAAUGUCUUGCAAUUCAGCACAUUUGAUAUUUUGUUAUAUGGUAAUGAAAAGAAAGAGACACAAAGAUUUGAACAGAUAUUUUUCAACAGAAACCAGACCGUGCUUGACCAGUCAAGUAAAGCUUCAUCUUGCAGGUCUGAGAUGAGCUGCUAGAUAAAAUCACAAAUGCUUCACUAAUACUUAACAAAUUAUACAAGGGCAAAACCAUCAAUAGGUGUAUAUGGACCAAAAAAGCACUUGGUGUACUGUACAGAGAGUUACUGUAAAUGAAAUAUGUUAACCUCCUUUGAGGCCUCAUAUUUUCAUGUGGCUCCCGCACACAAAUGCCACUUCAAAUGGGGGUUUGGUCAGAGGCUGACCACACUGAUGCAUCCCACACACACACACACACACACACACACACACACACACACACACACAGUCAGGCUAACAGAGGCCGUUGCUUCAAGCCCAGCGGAUCAGGGGAUUAAGAGUAGGAGUGUGAGGAGGUCUGCUUGAGUGCUGGCCCAAUCACUACAUUUAGCCUAAUACCUCCAGCGUCAGACACAGUGUUUGUUGGAAGAGCUGGUGGCACUGCACGACUCACGGAGAGAGAGAGAACAUGUACAUAUAGUAGGAGGAGUAACAUGAUGCGUAAGCCAGCCAGUACAACAUGAGAGAGGGGUCAACCAGAGAGCACCGGACAGGAAGAGAAUGUAGAAAGGGGAUGGCAUCACCAGUGCGUGCAUGAUUUAAUGGCUAGGUCAUAGACAAGGUGAGAGGGUUGACCCUGUUAAGCCUCUUUCCAAGAAUGACUAUUAUAAACUGAGUAUUGUUUACAAGCAAACAGAGAGAGGGAAGUAGAUUAGCUUUCUGCCUUGCACUGACUGCAGCUCAGCAACCUCAGUGUCAUGAAGUAUUUCAUGGGUACAUUUAGUCAGUUGGCUAGUGAAGACUAGAUUCAGAUUAGGAAUCAAGACUGGCUCUCGACCUGUGCCCACUUGAAUGGCAAUGAGAACGUUUCAAGAUCUGAGGGAGUUAUUCUUUAUUCACUCCAUCGCCAUUUUGCAAAUAAUUACAAACAUCAAUUUGCUGAAAUAAUUAUGAAUGCACAAUCUGCAAAUUCCACCCAUGUAUUAGACCUCUUUUUGUGAUGCCAUUUUUCCAUUACUCAAAGACCCAUCUAAGCGUGCCCCGCCCCGUGGAUGGAAAAUGUAUAAACUGAGAACGCCUCAAGUGAACUAUACAUUCUCAUGACACUGCUAAGAGUAUAGGGGACAGAUGCAGGCAGGACACACCAGGCCAACAAAUGUUGAAGAAAUGUACAGUUUUCAUGUUAGAGCUGGGUGGUAUAGCUCCCUAUAUUCCUUGAAGAAUACCUUACUCCAUGACAAAAUCCAGUCCCACAUCAACUAAUUCAACUGUUUUCAACAGAAAAAUGAUUGAAAAUGAAUGUACCUGUGUGUAAAUCGAUACUAAUUUAACAAACACAGAAAUAGUUGCUAGAUAUUAAAUAAUCACAUUACUUCCGGGUAAUCUUUUUAUUGGCUUUUUAUGUGACUCAGUCCGAUUUUUUAGAGCAGAACAGACCUUUAAUAAAAUGGGGAGAACCUAGUUGAAAUCGAUCCUAGUUAAAUUAGAAUUGAAUGGUGUCGAUGAUUUACACCUCAAAUACAUUUUCAGAACAUUAAGAGGUUCACAAACGUUCUAGCACCUCUGUAGAUGUCCAUUAGCAGAUAUGUUACUUGCAUAGGACCUUUAUUUACUGGGAAAUUUGACCCAUAAAGUAAAAGGCUUGGGUCUCAUUUAAGGUGAAAAAGAAAAUGAUCCCAGACAAUUAAUAAAAUAAGCCCCAUCACAUAAAAGGAUGAUAAAAAGAUUACCCAGAAGUCAUGAAAUCUAAGAGUAAAGCUAACAGCCUGUACAAAUGGAUGUUUAGGGGGCAUUUUAAAAUGUCUGACAAAAUCCAGUCCCACAUCAACUAAUUCAACUGUUUUGAACAGAAAAAGCACUAUAGUUUAUUCCUUAGAGAGCGCACAUGGCAAAUACUGUCCAUAACACGCAGCGAUGUUGCCAUCGUUUUAGAAUGUCAUGUAGUCUGACAUAUUUAGUUUAAAGGAGUUGCUUGCUAAUGCUACCGGUCGGAUCUAACCAAACCUUUGUCUACUAAAGCACUUUGAGCUGCAUUCUUUUGCAUGAAAGGUGCUAUAUAAAUACAGUUAUUAUUAUUACUUCACUUCAGCUUGGCUCUGCCCACUUGGUGCCUUUGACCACCUCACUGAAGCAUCACAUUUAUGGGCAACAGUGCACAUGUCUUUAGUUUCCACUUUAGGAGCAGGGGGCCAUACUGUAGAAAACACUCCUACUCAGAGCUACUUCCUGGAAAGAACACAACAGAGAGCACAUUAUACUGCACUGCUCAUACAUAAUCUGUGCACUGACCAGCAGGAAUACAGGACAGUGAACAACUUCAGGGGGACUAGUCAGUUCCACACAAAAAAAAAAAUCUACACGUUAGCUCUCCAGUAUGGCAGUUUAUAAAGUUUGACAAGAUCAGAGCACAGUUGUGUGCAUUUUGUGUAGGAGUGUAAUAGUUUCGACUAAGACCGUGAAACUCAACAAACCAGUUAGGGAUGCACCGAUACCGAUACCAGUAUCGGGCCGAUACUUCGUUAAAAUACUCAUACUCGUAUUUGAAUUGCCGAUACCAAGAACCGAUACCACUCAACAGUAUUUUACUACAACAAACUGGUCGCGCUAUGCGGACAAAAAGCUUGUGUGUGUGAAAGUAGGCUACGAAAGUAAAGAUGUUAAAAUAACAGUAUGUAGCAAUUGUACUGUGCAAAUUUCAACAGGUUUCGCUAGGUUUAGCCGCUAGCAUCUUGUUAGCGAUUAGCAAUUCCUCCAUUGUGCUGCUUUAACGGAAGAGUAUAGCCAUGUGUGAGAAGGUGAAUUUCCUCCCUUCUCACUGUGGCAAGAAAAGGGCUGUUGCCCUUUAAGACUGACUCCCCCACCACAAUGGUUGGGUCCGGGCUUCCCCCACGACUGUGGUUGGCUCCAAGAGACCUAAGUGGACUAAUUAAGCCCAAUGGGCUACCCUACGUAAAGGGUGCCUCAUGUUCAUGAGAGAGAGCCUUUUGAGGAGAGACAGGCGUGAGAGGCCGAGAGCUUAGCCAAAGAUUUAUUUAGGGCAUGCUAUACCAUACAGCGUCACAGGAUUAAGCUGGAAAAUAUUAAGCUGAACAAUUUGCUUGUUCAUUUGCGUCAAAUGGACGAAAAUCUUUUUUUUUCUUUCCAAACAGUACACUGCUCCUAAAACACAGCAUGAAAUAUUUAACGGUGUAUUUCAGCUGAAUAUACUUGCUCACAGUGACUGGCCAUAAUACUAACAAUUAAAUGCACACAACAUAACAGGAGUGGAAAUAAACAUUUUCUUUUUCUUUAUCUACUGGCCAUUUUCAGCAGCCACCAUUUUGUAAUCGCACUUUUGUGUGUAACUAAAUUUUCAAUAAUGUUUGCCUUGCUUAAAAAAUUAUACAUAAAAAAAAAAGAAAAGAACACAAAAAAAAAUAAUCACCUUUUAACUUUUGGUUCUUUAACUCGAGUUGUCUCCUCUUGCAUAGGCCUAGUGACAUCAGCUGUAGCAGGUAGGUUGAUCAAAUUCACCCACCACUUCACAAAUUCACACGCAUUUGUCGGGUAGCGGAUUCUAAUUUCCAACCCUGCAACAUGCACACAAUAAUCCAAAUGUGUCAAAGCUUUACAAUCAAACAGUGCUCAGUGGGUGUCAGCUAUUGAUUCAAACGUAGACAUCCCACCAAUAUAAUGACAUUUUGCACGUGUGGACUAGGUGUAGCAGACAGUAAAUGAAGUGUGCGCUUUAUCUGCCUUCACACCAAAUCCUUCCAGCAGGGUGGUGCCGAGGUGUGGCCAUGUAUAUGUUGUGCUUUAGAACGUAACCCUCAAGAAACGAUCAGAAAAAAAGUUGAAUUACUCUGAUUCACUGCUUUGUUCUUGCUACCUCCCCUCCCACUUUUGAUUCAUUCUCGAAUUCCCUCCACCACUGCUGCCCUCUCUUUCGCUGGAGCUAGGAAGGAGGGGCCAACUGUGAAUGCUGUGUUUACAAACACCAUUACAAAUCCCGCUCAUUCUGCCUUUAAGAAACCUAACGCUACAACUUCUACAUCGUGUGACAGGCUAGUUUCCACUGUUCACCUAAGGGCAUGCAGUGACAUUUGAGCACAACGAUAAAAAGAACGGCUCUCAAGUAUGACUCGGUUCCUUUCGUUCGUACCUAAGAGCCGUUGAAAAGAGUCGGAUCGUUUGCCAACUUAACAUCACUACAACAUGCUUACGUAAUGACCUCUAUGGUCGGAUGCUUGUACUUGGACGAGGAGUGUGAGGUUUGCGUACAGUUGAGUUUAUGCAAAAACAUGCACAACGUCAAUUGACUUACGUUUGUAAAUGGCAAAACCAAAUAUACACUGUAGCUAAUUAGUAACAAUGAAAGAAUGUAAUGCUAGGACCUAUAAAUACAGUGUUGAUCACGGUCUAUGAGAACGCCUUAGAUGGGAUGCAACAUUAAACACACAUGCAGUAAACCACACACACGCCAGGUCAACACUAACGUUAAUAUUUGAACAGAUCACACACGAAGGUGCAGUACGGGGUAACAUUCGUCACGUCAGUUUGUAAAUAACUAGCUAUACAGACUAACUAUGAUUUAACGAAGGCUCCAUCACAAACGAUGAUGAUGACCAGGUGUUUCGAUGUCAAAUAGGGUAACGCUACGGCUAUCCCUCUGUUCUGACAAACUUGAAAACCCACACAAAUCAGUGACAUCCACACGACUUUCAUACUUAAGGGGCAAAUAUGAACAGCACUAUAAAAAACAGGGUACCAUUAACCAGUCAAUAACACUAUUGAGAUAGUAACUUGACAGUUACAUACAACGCUCGUCAUGACCUAGCUACCCUGUACGCUAGCAGUCUUCACUCUAGCUAAUUCUAGCUACAUUUUAGCCCGCUAACGUCAAGGUGGCGAAGUAAACGUGCCUGAUGGAACGUACAAUAUUUCCUAAUUUUGAGGACAAACAUGUGACAUCGAGUAAGGAUUUCACUUAAGAAUUAAGUUAAAAAUUAGACUCGUUAAAUUAAGAGCACAGCUCUUAAAGUAACCUUACAAAAACAAGUGGCAAUAGCUAGCCACCACAAUCCAAGCAGCUAAUGUUAAUUAGCUAACAUUGUGAUUGUAUACUUACCGCGUUUGUAAUCCUUCAACUCGGACUUUGUUCUGAUGAUUAAUUUGCAAGGUUUUCCAGCUAGACACCGAACGUGUGGCUGAUGAAAUCUUCCCACUGUCUCACAAAAAUCGAAUAAGGAAAAACAACCUUGCUGCGACGGAGCCAGAUGUAGUUGUCUGGCUAAUGACGGUCGCUAAUAUGAGUACACAGGCUAGCCGGAAGCCAGAAAGGCUACGAAAAAUGUAUAACGUUAGCUAUAUAUAAAUAUAUAACAUUCACUAGGUGAUACUUGCUUGAUGAUUGGCGGCUACAGUUAAAGCGCUAAACAAUGUUUAAACUGUUGAAUAGAGACAAUAUUACUGACUUGUAACGUUAAAAGUAUUUCAGACAUUAUCAAAUGUCAACCACGGCUAGGCAGCUUGCUAUGCUUCGGUGAGCCACUCGAUAGCCUGGACAAGGCUAACUAACUCAGCCAGCUAGCGAACUCAAGUCUCAAGUCCUUGGGACGUUAACGUUACACUAUCUAGGGUUGGCUUGCGUACACGUCAAAGCCGUGCCAACGUCAAAGACAAGUGCCGAACAUAACAUUAUAUGGUGUCUUCAUUUAAGCACCACAGUUCUUUCUGAAGCUUUACGACCAUAAUUCAAAGUAACCUUAGCUAGCCCACACAACCAUAAACGCGUAACCUCGGCUAACUAGCUAACGCUCUGGCUCAAUGACGUUAGCGAUCAUAGGUAGUUAUCCACAGUCUGAUGUUUGGAUAGCACGCAAUUACACCAGCAAAACAUUGACAGUUUCCCAACUUCAAAUAUAACGUUAAUUUAUGAAUGGGUUAUCGAUUUAACAUUACAUUGUGAAUGCACAAAGUUUUGACGGCCACAGCGAUGUCUGCCUGCGAGAUAAGGCAUUUUCAGAACAUGGUGAUGGAUAACGUUAAGUUAGUUAAGUUAACUAACUAGCUAGCUAAUAUGAACUGUUGAUAAUACCUUCAAUGUAACGUAGGUUAAUUGCAGCAAAACAGAUGGUGACCAACUAACGAUAACUUUUGAUGAGAUAGCCUUGCUUGCUUGUUAGCGUUACCUACUGACGUCGUUACUGUAACGCCCGUCUAAACAGCACUGACUGUAGCCACUUGGUUGUGGCGCCACACCGUAAAAAAAACAGCACUAUCUGUCCGGUCCCUCUCCCUCCCUCUAGGCUUUCGCUUGAGAAUGAGAGCAACUGCAAGAGGGAUCCCAGGGUCCCGGUUUCCACCAGGUUCUCGUCGGUUUGCUUAGGCUAAGUCGUAACAAUUAUUGACAAAGUGAAGCCUCUGCAUAACCCCAAUGGAGAAUGGUUGAGAUGGGGGAAAGACAGAUCCAACCCGUGUAGAACAUAUACGCUCAAUGAUGUAGUGGCCGUUAUCAGAGUAUAUUCAAGGACAUCUCUUUGUCGUCUUCUUCUUUUUCCGUUUACGGCAGACUGGGCACUUUUGCAGCGCAUUGCUGCCUCUCACUGUCGGUUGAUGGAACUAGUAGCCUAAUUAUAAUUACUCAGAUAUAAAUACAAAAUCCCAU